CUCCAUCCUGGGCUGCACCUUUACUAUUCACCCAAGUUCAGUUAGAUACAACACUCACAUUGUACAAGUUAUAUGGAACAGGAUUAUUACUUACAGAUAGGUGGCAAGGGACAACAGAAGCCCAGGAUCCACAGUGAGCUGGUCAGCCGAGGCUCUGGAGAGCUGUCGGGGGUGGAUGGAGUCCUGACUGAACAUGCCACACUUGGACUGCAGCUUAGGGAUCCCAAAAGGCAACCCACCUUGAGUUAACUCAGGGGACAUGUGAGUUGCUGGGCUAAAGCAUUGAAGGGCGUCUUGCUUCUAAGAUAAAGACUAAAGCUCAGGCUAUCCUGAGCAAUUCUUCUCUAACUCAAGAAGUUCUCUUCCCUAGGAGGGCAAAUAACAAAGCCUGGUCUAUUUCUAGCAGUUCCUCCCUGUCUCAGGAUAUUGCAUGCUCACACAUGCUUCAACUAUUCUGAGAACUACAAUCAACAAGACAGAAGAAGACUAGAUGAUGUUUCCUUUCCUGCCCAAUUUAUCUGGUUAAAACGUCUGAUACACUGUUGAAUAGAAGAGGCAAGGGCACAUGUUCAUGUCUUGUUCCUGAUAUUGGGAGAAAGCAUCCCGUUUUUCACCACUCUGGCCAGGACAGCCUAUCUGUGCAGGAGGCAUUGCUGGCACCCCGUGGGGACUGAGGACCAAGGAGGAGCUGCUCCCCCACACACGGUUCGUACUUCUGCUCUGUGAAGAGAGACAACUGUGCCCUGUCACCUUCACUGAACUAUGAGGUGUCUGCUGAACAUCUAAUUUGUGCCAGGACCAUAGUUGAGACUGAGGGGAACAGACACUCUCAGAAUCCACUUAUGACAGCUCCAAAUAUCUAUGCUCACCUUUGUCUCUUUUCCACUGGUCUCUGUGGAAGAUAUCUCCUUUCACUUUAAGGCUAAUCCUUCCAUGA
rnacentral:lncRNA from 10 species